rnacentral:lncRNA from 1 species
GUCAAAGCUACUGACGGAAAAAAGAAAGGUCGUGUGCUUGGAACCAGAGCAAGUGAUCCAAUGCCAUUACCAAUUCCUGAUAAUAUGACGACUUUACAGAACACAACGACGAAUUAUAUAGAAAUUCAACAACAAAAAAGUAAAGAAGACUUUGAUCGGGCAGUUCAAGAGGCCAUUAGAAAACAGAUGCCGGAUAUACUAAAGGAACUAAGGGAAGACUUACGUCGAGAGACGAUUGAGGUAAUUAGCAUUUAUAUAUAAAUCAAUAUUCAUAUUUUCUUUGUAAUUUCAAUUUUUUUUACAUUAGGGUCAGUCGAGCCAAGGACACAACACCAUAAUCACGCCUAUUACAAGAGAUUCAAAUGUCGAAAAUAUUGGCAAGAGUCCAAGUAAAAGUCCGAGUAAAAGUGCGACGAAUAGCAUGACAAAC